rnacentral:rRNA from 1 species
AUUGAACGCUGGCGGCAGGCCUAACACAUGCAAGUCGAGCGGAUGAAGGGAGCUUGCUCCUGGAUUCAGCGGCGGACGGGUGAGUAAUGCCUAGGAAUCUGCCUGGUAGUGGGGGAUAACGUCCGGAAACGGGCGCUAAUACCGCAUACGUCCUGCGGGAGAAAGUGGGGGAUCUUCGGACCUCACGCUAUCAGAUGAGCCUAUGUCGGAUUAGCUAGUUGGUGGGGUAAAGGCCUACCAAGGCGACGAUCCGUAACUGGUCUGAGAGGAUGAUCAGUCACACUGGAACUGAGACACGGUCCAGACUCCUACGGGAGGCAGCAGUGGGGAAUAUUGGACAAUGGGCGAAAGCCUGAUCCAGCCAUGCCGCGUGUGUGAAGAAGGUCUUCGGAUUGUAAAGCACUUUAAGUUGGGAGGAAGGGCAGUAAGUUAAUACCUUGCUGUUUUGACGUUACCAACAGAAUAAGCACCGGCUAACUUCGUG